GCCUAUAGCCAUACAGGGCCAAAUUAACCCUAUCUUCCCUGAUCUGAGAAGCUAAACAGUCCCAGACCUGCCUGGUACUUGGGUGAGAGGACACCAGAAGAUCCUGGGUGCUGUAGGAA
rnacentral:rRNA from 1 species